rnacentral:rRNA from 1 species
AUUGAACGCUGGCGGCGUGCUUAACACAUGCAAGUCGAGCGAGGCCCUCCUUCGGGAGGUGUCCUAGCGGCGAACGGGUGAGUAACACGUGGGCAACCUGCCCCCGGCUCUGGGAUAACCCCAAGAAAUUGGGGCUAAUACCGGAUACGACCGCUGACCGCAUGGUCUGGUGGUGGAAAGAUUUAUCGGCUGGGGAUGGGCCCGCGGCCUAUCAGCUUGUUGGUGGGGUAGUGGCCUACCAAGGCGACGACGGGUAGCCGGCCUGAGAGGGUGACCGGCCACACUGGGACUGAGACACGGCCCAGACUCCUACGGGAGGCAGCAGUGGGGAAUAUUGCGCAAUGGGCGAAAGCCUGACGCAGCGACGCCGCGUGGGGGAUGACGGCCUUCGGGUUGUAAACCUCUUUCAGCAGGGACGAAGCGCAAGUAACGGUACCUGCAGAAGAAGCACCGGCCAACUACGUGCCAGCCGCCGCCGUAAAAC